ensembl:lncRNA
GGCCUUAUCUGCUGGUGAGAUCAUGCAUCGCUGCUUUAUCCUUCCAUGCAUCGAGCCCAACAUUAUCUGUCGCAUUGGACAUGCCACAGAAUCGCUCCAGUGCUGGAGAGUUCAGCGAAUCAUGCAAAAGCAGCGCACAGAAUCUGGGCGAGCGUGACUCACACAGCCCUGCUGGAGUGUCUGCUGUCAGCAGAUCUGUCUUAGUGGGUGACAGGAGAGAAAUAAUGACAGUUUGUGUCAUCGCUGGAAAUCCUGAGCAUGUGGGCAGAAUCUCUCAUCCAGGCAUGAGUUUUCAUCAUCGUGCAUGUUGUUCUUCAUUGUGUACAUAUUUUUGUGCGUUAAGGUCAGAUAUUGCAUCAUUCGGUUUUACAUAAACUCUGGCCAAACAAAAACUGCCAACAAUGUGCCAGGAAGGGCAGAAGGACACAGAGGAGGACAGUGAAAGAAAGGAAAGGCCACGUUUAAUGAUCCAGAAUCCAAUCUCAGCAACUAAAAUCUCAGUCUAAUUAAAUAUUAUGUGAAAAAUGACUUAAAUGUUGGUCUGUUCUACCUACAAAGCUUCUGAAGUCUUGAAAUAUAGCAGCUAUGCCUGAAGGAGUCUUUUUGCUUUGCUUUUUAGUACUUUUAUUGUACUUUUUAGAGUUUGAGAGCUUCAGUCCACCUUUGUUGUAACAGCAUGGAAAAGAGCGAUCAGAAAUUGGCCCAAAUCGAAUACAAGUCCACAAACAUCCAAUCUCAUAUAGAUUUGAUCUGUGCCAGAUGUUUGUGAAAAAAAAUGUACACAGACCGCAGGAAGCCAACCUGAAAGUCCAGGACCUGCACUUUCAUCUCAGCAUCUGAAAGAGAGAGAGAGACGGGUCUGAAGGACAGGAGGACUGACAUUGGGUAUGUCUUGAAUCAUACAACCUUCAUGUGUUGACCGAAAAACAGUAUGCAGAGUGUAUUCACUGCAGAGGAUGCAGAUUUCCUGUAUGCAGGAAACACACAGGUGAUCUACAACAUUUGUCAAAUUGCGCAAUAUGCAAUGCGCUUGACUUGACCUUCCAUUUCCACUGAAAACUCUAGCGUUCAUUAGUGAUUUACUUAUCGUGUUUGUGCUACAGACAUGAAUGACUCAGAUCGUGUGGUUUGUUCAGAAGAGGUGUGCAUUACUCUUUUUAUAAUGAUUAGAUUUACGCUUUCCAUUUAAUGGACAAUAAAAUCAGCUAAAAAUCCA